rnacentral:rRNA from 1 species
AUUCCAGACUCCUACGGGAGGCAGCAGUGGGGAAUAUUGCACAAUGGGGGGAACCCUGAUGCAGCGACGCCGCGUGGGUGAAGGAGCACCUCGGUGCGUAAAGCCCUAUCGGCAGGGAAGAAACAGACGGUACCUGACUAAGAAGCCCCGGCUAACUACGUGCCAGCAGCCGCGGUAAUACGUAGGGGGCAAGCGUUAUCCGGAUUCACUGGGUGUAAAGGGAGCGUAGACGGCGACGCAAGUCUGGAGUGAAAGCCCGGGGCCCAACCCCGGGACUGCUCUGGAAACUGUGCGGCUGGAGUGCGGGAGGGGCAGGCGGAAUUCCUGGUGUAGCGGUGAAAUGCGUAGAUAUCAGGAGGAACACCGGCGGCGAAGGCGGCCUGCUGGACCGCGACUGACGUUGAGGCUCGAAAGCGUGGGGAGCAAACAGGAUUAGAUACCCGGGUAC